UUCCUAACCUUUUCGUAAAGUCAGAGGAAGAAGAGAGGAUUUACAACCAAGGAUCUGAAGAAAGCACAAGCCCUGGUGACAACCGGACAGGGUUUGUAGACAUUGUUGUAAAGGCAGAAGAAGAGGAGAGUCUGUCCAAUCGGAGAUCUGUGGAGAUUUCAAGUGUUCCCUGGGAUCAGUCAG